rnacentral:rRNA from 1 species
AACGAACGCUGGCAGCAUGCCUAACACAUGCGAGUCGAACGAUCCCUUCGGGGAUAGUGGCGCACGGGUGCGUAACGCGUGGGAACCUGCCCUUAGGUUCGGAAUAACUCAGAGAAAUUUGAGCUAAUACCGGAUAAUGUCUUCGGACCAAAGAUUUAUCGCCUUUGGAUGGGCCCGCGUUGGAUUAGCUAGUUGGUGGGGUAAAGGCCUACCAAGGCGACGAUCCAUAGCUGGUCUGAGAGGAUGAUCAGCCACACUGGGACUGAGACACGGCCCAGACUCCUACGGGAGGCAGCAGUGGGGAAUAUUGGACAAUGGGCGAAAGCCUGAUCCAGCAAUGCCGCGUGAGUGAUGAAGGCCUUAGGGUUGUAAAGCUCUUUUACCCGGGAUGAUAAUGACAGUACCGGGAGAAUAAGCCCCGGCUAACUCCGUG